CAUUUGCUCAUUACUUUUUUAUUUUGCUUGAUCUGUUAAUGAAAUAAAAAGUACCCUGUCCUUAAGGUGCGUGAACUCUGUAAUCCUUGUUGAUUUCCGACCAUGAAUCAGCUGAAUUGUUAUUUUUUUUAUCAUGUAUUGUUAGGUACAGAGUUCAUGCCCAUACCAUUUAUAUUAUUCUUAGCCUGCCCAUACCACUUUGAUUUCAUUUUUCGUCCAUGUUUUAGUUGAAUUUUCCUAACAAACUAUGGUGUUAAUGCCAUGGAUGCUUGUGUGUAUUGGUGGUUUGCUAUUCUCACGUGUGGUUUCCUUGUGGUGUUGUUCUGAGGUCUACUUAACACUUUUGUCGUGGUUGUAUGGUGUUGGGAUUCACUAGGAGGUCUACUUAACACUUUUGUCGUGGUUGUAUGGUGUUGGGAUUCACUAGGAAUGCGAUCGUAGCGGGUCGGGCUCUUCAUCACCAAGAGGAACACAAACAGAGCUCAAGUUUUUUUAUUUUGCUCUGCAUUAUCUACUGCUUCUCCAUUUGAUAAGUAACCGAUCAAUUUUUUGAAUAUUUCGAGGAGUAUUUCGAGCACAUCGGAGGUGUAGGAGUUGGUGAACACCCAUGAUCUGGAGAUGUUGCAGUUGGAAGGGUCCGGGAAGAUUUAUGCACAGGGAGAUGAUUAUCACGAGUACUUCAAGCGCUCAUUUGAGGAAGACAUCGCUGCGCAAGUGCCUCAAGGAGUGGAAUGGGGUUACAACUAUUGAUGGGGGGAAAUCAGGCAGAGGAGGGCAUGUUGACGGACCAAGUGGCGAAGCAAAAUUUUCUAAUGAUUUUGAAGUUCACUAUAUUGGCAGUAGCUGAUGAUCCCUUCUGUGAUAGACCGAGUAAACCAAGCAAUUCGGGAUAUUCAACUCCACUUUGAUGACUGUGUGUACCAGCAUAAGAUGUUGAUUACAAUUCACGACAUAUUUAUUGUUGUUUAUUUUUUAUUUUUUUAUUUUUCA